rnacentral:rRNA from 1 species
AUUGAACGCUGGCGGCAUGCCUUACACAUGCAAGUCGAACGGCAGCGGGCCUUCGGGUGCCGGCGAGUGGCGAACGGGUGAGUAAUGCAUCGGAACGUGCCUUUGAGUGGGGGGAUAACGUAGCGAAAGUUGCGCUAAUACCGCAUAUUCUGUGAGCAGGAAAGCAGGGGGACCGCAAGGCCUUGCGCUCUUUGAGCGGCCGAUGUCAGAUUAGCUAGUUGGUGAGGUAAAGGCUUACCAAGGCGACGAUCUGUAGCGGGUCUGAGAGGAUGAUCCGCCACACUGGAACUGAGACACGGUCCAGACUCCUACGGGAGGCAGCAGUGGGAAUUUUGGACAAUGGGGGCAACCCUGAUCCAGCCAUGCCGCGUGAGUGAAGAAGGCCUCGGUUGUAAACUGCUUUGUCUAGGGAAGUAAACCUUUGUUACGUGUACAGAGCUGAAGGUACCUGAAGAAUAAAGCAAUCGGCUAACUCCGUGCCAGCAGCCGCGGUAAUCG